rnacentral:lncRNA from 1 species
AUGUGAAAAAAAGAAGAAGAAAAAAAGGUGAUCUCCGAAGACAGAGUUGUUUGCUUUUACUCAAAGAGGAAGGCCACAGCUCUAUCGCCAUUAAUCUCCAAGCUUUGACAACAAACUCGCUCAACCUGUGAGAGCGGAGCAGCUGAUGCUUCUUGGAUGGACACACAAACACAACACCUCUGUGCUGGUGUCUAUUAUACUCCUCAGGGGGGAUUCUGUCAUUUUGUCAAACUAAAUUACAGAAAUUUUGGGACUUCCACUUUACCAAAACCCUGGAGAGACGGGACUGGAGCCAAGGUUUCAUGUCACAGCGAAAGAUAAGUCACAAUGCUUUAUUUCUAUUUAGCGUCAUCGAACUUUAAACAUCAUAUUUAAAUCUCAUUCCUUUGUGCUGAAGCUCAUCAGGAACAUCUCAUGUGAGAUGGUGCAUGGUGUGUAUCUUUAUACAAACAAAUCAAAAGCGGGUAUGUGGAAAAGAUUUGCUCAAACACCGAUCUAACUUUCUCUAGAAAUCCUCUGUUCAUUAGUCAAAGUCUAAAUAUUAGGGAUCCAUUGUGAAAGUAACAAUACGCACAAGCUGAAAACAUGCAAUAAGCAGAUGUAGUUGAGGAAAUUUUAUUUCUCAACUUGAUGAUUCAUCAAAUUAAAAAAAAGUUCUUCUUUUCUCCACACCAUCCUGUAGCAUCUCGGCCUUACAGCAGGGGAAUAAGGUAACUGACAAAGUCUUCCCAGCAGAGUUUAAGGAUUAAUUUCUCCUACACCGACAGCAGAUGGGCGGAUUUUCUAUCACAAUAACAUGCAAAUAUUUAAAAGACCAUUAAAGAUACUUUAGUGUGACUGACAGCUUGUCAAACACUGCACUGUCCUGUUGAAGUAAAUGCGACUCAUCUGUUUAUUGCUCAUAGGUACAAACAGUUCUAAAUAAUCCUUUGCUAUUUUAUGACUACUUGACCUCAGCUCGAUCUGCCCUCGCACUGAAGGCGCAGGCAUUUUUAAUCAACAGCAUUGAAUUAAUCCGACCUUAGAACGCAGCAAAGUCACACAUUGCGGCUUACACCAAAAGCUUCAGCAUCUGAAAACAAUUAAAUGUCUGGUUUCCAGGAGGGGCUGAUUUGCCAGAUGACAGUUGCAGUGGAGGGCGCGCUCUUACCCUCUGAGUGCCCCACUGCAUGCCCAAAACAUACCACCAGUGCACAUUAGCAAUGAGGCCUGAAUGAUUUUUAAUUACAAAGCAAAAGAAAACAGCAUUUGAGAAUAAGCAACAAAUGGAUCUGAAAAUAUUCAGAUCUAUUUGCUGACGUGAGAAGUGCAUUCUUGUCUGGUGCUCCACGUUGUCUCCCUGUGGUGCCACCUCAUAGAUCGCAUGGCUAAUCCAAAAUGGCACUUAAGACUGAGCUUUGACAGUAGGUUGGAGAUUUAUUUCUUGCAGUGCUUGCCAAGCAUCUUAUGUGUUUGAUAUUAAAGGAACUGUUUGACAUUUUUGGAAAUAUACUUUACUGCAAGAGCAACAAAAGGAGAUCAAUACCUCUCUUAUGCUUGUAAGAGUGUAGCUUAACUUAGCGCGAAAUCUAGAAGCUAAUAAAAAAGGCUUCCCUACAGCUGUCCAGUCAGUGUUAGGGUAGCACCUCUAACAUUUGCUGAUUAACAU